UAGCUUCUAAUGACAGUAUACACCAUUUAAUUGACUGGGAGUAUAGAGGUUGUGCUGGUGGUAUAUAUUUGAACUCACAGUGGAUGGUUCAUAAAGGAUGUUAUAGUAAUUCUGGACCAAUGAAUAGUAAUGGUGUAUAUGACAAUUAAAGGUUAAAACACCAACACUUUGUUCAGAGAAAUGUAAAAUGAACAAAUAUUUUGCAAUGAAAUACAACUGGUGUCCUUGUAUGUCUUCUCUAUACAACUUGAAGGAAGUUGACUCGUCAAAGUGCACGUACAAAUGUGCAGGUUCAAACAAUGAUGUUUGUGGCGAAAGAUCUCAUUUUACGGUAUACCAGCACAUUCUUGGUGAAUUCAAACCCAAGCCUGAUGUCGAUCAAAGAUUUGCCUGCUCCGUUAUCGUGCCUCGAAAUGGUACGUUUGUACUGAAAGCUGUAGACUGCUCUUUGGAAUACUG